rnacentral:misc_RNA from 1 species
AUCAUUUUUCUCAGUCCAUGCCAUCUGGAAAUAACAAUAAUCCCACUUUCCUAAAUCAAUAUCAAUGAACACAUUGGACUAAACCUCAACAAAGCAUCACAAAGAUAACCACUCGAUAAUAUCUAAUAGAAUAAAAGGCAUAAUAGAAGGCCCAAAACACGAUAAAAAUGGUAGAAACAAAACUAAAACAUUCAUUUGUAACAGCAUUGAAGCACGCACUCGAAAACCCUAAAUAUGAUACGAAAUUAUUGAAGUAACUACCGCACUGAGAAAAGCUAUGCUCUUAAACCCAAAAUUAAUCACUCUAUGAAAAGCAAAACCCUAAUGAAGA